rnacentral:rRNA from 1 species
UACGAAGGGGGCUAGCGUUGCUCGGAAUCACUGGGCGUACAGCGCACGUAGGCGGCUUCUUAAGUCAGGGGUGAAAUCCUGGAGCUCAACUCCAGAACUGCCUUUGAUACUGAGGAGCUUGAGUCCGGGAGAGGUGAGUGGAACUGCGAGUGUAGAGGUGAAAUUCGUAGAUAUUCGCAAGAACACCAGUGGCGAAGGCGGCUCACUGGCCCGGUACUGACGCUGAGGUGCGAAAGCGUGGGGAGCAAACAGG